GCAUCACUAAAGUGCGCAAGGGAGCAGGGAGAUGCCCCACAUUGGCUCCAAAAGGUAGAGAGCAAUAAAGAAAAGUAUGUGUGUGCAAGAAUGUGUAAGUGUGCCAGUGUGUGUCUGUCAGUGUGUCAGUGUGUAUGUCUGUCAGUGAGUAUGUGUGUGUCUGUCAGUGUGUGUCUGUCAGCAAGUAUGUGUGUGUCUGUCAGUGAGUAUGUGUGUGUGUGUGUCUGUAUGUGUGUGUCUGUCUGUCAGUGAGUAUGUGUGUGUGUCUGUCUGUGAGUAUGUGUGUGUGUGUCUGUCAGUGUGUGUGUGCCUGUAUGUGUGUGUGUGUCUGUCUGUCUGUCAGUGAGUAUGUGUGUGUCUGUCUGUCUGUGUGUGUCUGUG